rnacentral:tRNA from 1 species
GGGUUAUUAGUCCAAACAAGACACUUGAUUUCGGCUCAAGAGAUUGGGGUUUAAAUCCUCAAUUGCCCU